CGGGUGCACUGAUCCAGCCGGGCCUUUCCCUCUGUGGAACCCCAUGGCCUUCACUGGCUGUGGUGGGGAAACAGGACUUUUACUUUGAAAAAAUUAGAGUGCUCCAGGCAGGCCUAUGCUCGAAUACAUUAGCAUGGAAUAAUAGAAUAGGACGUGUGGUUCUAUUUUGUUGGUUUCUAGGACCGCCGUAAUGAUUAAUAGGGACAGUCGGGGGCAUCAGUAUUCAAUUGUCAGAGGUGAAAUUCUUGGAUCUAUUGAAGACUAACUACUGCGAAAGCAUUUGCCAAGGGUGUUUUCAUUGAUAAGGAACGAAAGUUAGGGGAUCGAAGACGAUCAGAUACCGUCGUAGUCUUAACUAUAAACUAUGCCGACUAGGGAUCGGACGAUGUUAUUCUUUGACGCGUUCGGCACCUUUCGAGAAAUCAAAGUGCUUGGGCUCCAGGGGGAGUAUGGUCGCAAGGCUGAAACUUAAAGAAAUUGACGGAAGGGCACCACCAGGGGUGGAACCUGCGGCUUAAUUUGACUCAACACGGGGAAACUCACCAGGUCCAGACACAGUGAGGAUUGACAGAUUGAGAGCUCUUUCUUGAUUCUGUGGGUGGUGGUGCAUGGCCGUUCUUAGUUGGUGGAGUGAUUUGUCUGCUUAAUUGCGAUAACGAACGAGACCUUAACCUGCUAAAUAGCCCGUACUGCUUUGGCAGUUCGCCGGCUUCUUAGAGGGACUAUCGG
rnacentral:rRNA from 1 species